CGUCACUUCCUUUCCUCCCUCACCGCCAUGGAUAGAGUAAGUUUCUAAACCCAAUAAGAAAGCAGUUAAUAAAGCAUUGUUAGGUGCAAAAGAAGCUAUGCUUGGGAUUAGAUGAGACUGCAGGUGUUCCUAUUGAACCAGAAUCACAAACAAAACUUUUAGAUGCUACACUGAACUUGGAAGGAGUGUUGUUGGCUGGAGUUCCAGAAGCAGGAGGAUUUGAUGUUGUCUUUGCUGUUACUUUGGGAGAUUCAAGCAGUAAUGUGAAAAAAAUAUGGAGCUUACUCAAUGUUAUUUAAUAUUUAAAAUUAUUAAAUUUAAUUAUUUGAAAUUGUAUAUUGAAUUUUUAAUAAUUUUAUUUAAUAUUUAAUUAAACCGGUUGAAUCCUAGUCGAACUUCGGUCGAACCGUUAAACCAGUGAACCAGUCACCUUACCGGUUUGUUGACCGGUUCAGUUUUC